rnacentral:tRNA from 1 species
UCCUGGCUGGCUCUGCUGGUGGAGCGUGUGACUCUGGAUCUCUGGGUUGUGGGUUCGAGCCCCGUGCCAGGCG